AGUUUGAUCCUGGCUCAGAUUGAACGCUGGCGGAAUGCUUUACACAUGCAAGUCGAGCGGCAGCGCGGGGGCAACCCUGGCGGCGAGCGGCGAACGGGUGAGUAAUGCAUCGGAACGUACCCAGUCGUGGGGGAUAACGUGGCGAAAGUCACGCUAAUACCGCAUACGUCCUGAGGGAGAAAGCAGGGGAUCGCAAGACCUUGCGCGAUUGGAGCGGCCGAUGUCUGAUUAGCUAGUUGGUGGGGUAAAGGCCUACCAAGGCGACGAUCAGUAGCUGGUCUGAGAGGACGAUCAGCCACACUGGGACUGAGACACGGCCCAGACUCCUACGGGAGGCAGCAGUGGGGAAUAUUGGACAAUGGGCGCAAGCCUGAUCCAGCAAUACCGCGUGUGUGAAGAAGGCCCUAGGGUUGUAAAACACUUUCAAUGGGGAGGAAAACCUGUCGGUCAAUACCCAGUAGCUUGACAUUGCCUAUAGAAGAAGCACCGGCUAACUCCGUG
rnacentral:rRNA from 1 species